rnacentral:rRNA from 1 species
UACGUAGGGUGCAAGCGUUAAUCGGAAUUACUGGGCGUAAAGCGUGCGCAGGCGGUUCUAUAAGACAGAUGUGAAAUCCCCGGGCUCAACCUGGGAACUGCAUUUGUGUCUGUAGAGCUGGAGUACGGCAGAGGGGGAUGGAAUUCCGCGUGUAGCAGUGAAAUGCGUAGAUAUGCGGAGGAACACCGAUGGCGAAGGCAAUCCCCUGGGCCUGUACUGACGCUCAUGCACGAAAGCGUGGGGAGCAAACAGG